CUACGGGUCGCUGCAGUGAGGAAUAUUGCACAAUGGGGGGAACCCUGAUGCAGCAACGCCGCGUGGAGGAUGACGCAUUUCGGUGUGUAAACUCCUUUUAUAUGUCAAGAAAAUGACGGUAGCAUAUGAAUAGGCACCGGCUAACUCCGUGCCAGCAGCCGCGGGUAAUACGGAGGGUGCAAGCGUUACUCGGAAUCACUGGGCGUAAAGGACGCGUAGGCGGGUUGGAAAGUCAGGUGUGAAAUCCUACAGCUUAACUGUAGAACUGCACUUGAAACUUCUAAUCUAGAGUAUGGGAGGGGGAGAUGGAAUUAGUGGUGUAGGGGUAAAAUCCGUAGAUAUCACUAGGAAUACCUAAAGCGAGGGCGAUCUCCUGGAACAUUACUGACGCUAAGGCGUGAAAGCGUGGGGAGCAAACAGGAUUAGAUACCCCCGUAGUC
rnacentral:rRNA from 1 species